rnacentral:rRNA from 1 species
CCUACGGGAGGCAGCAGUGGGGAAUAUUGCGCAAUGGGCGAAAGCCUGACGCAGCGACGCCGCGUGUGGGAUGACGGCCUUCGGGUUGUAAACCACUGUCGCGAGGGAGACGGUACCUCGAAAGGAAGCACCGGCUAACUCUGUGCCAGCAGCCGCGGUAAUACAGAGGGUGCAAGCGUUGUCCGGAAUUACUGGGCGUAAAGGGCGCGUAGGCGGCCCGAUAAGUAGGAGGUGAAAUUCCGUGGCUCAACCACGAAACUGCCUUCUAGACUGUCAGGCUUGAGCACGGUAGAGGCAGAUGGAAUUCCCGGUGUAGCGGUGGAAUGCGUAGAGAUCGGGAAGAACACCAGUGGCGAAGGCGGUCUGCUGGGCCGUGCUGACGCUGAGGCGCGACAGCGUGGGGAGCAAACAGGAUUAGAUACCCUUGUAGUC